UACGUAGGUGGCAAGCGUUACUCGGAAUCACUAGGCGUAAAGCGCAGGUAGGCGGUUGGGUAAGUCUUUUGUGAAAGCUCCUGGCUUAACUGGGAGAGGUCAAAGGAAACUACCCGGCUCGAGUGUGGUAGAGGUAGCUGGAAUUCCCGGUGUAGCGGUGAAAUGCGUAGAUAUCGGGAGGAAUACCUAUGGCGAAAGCAGGCUACUGGACCAUCACUGACGCUGAUCUGCGAAAGCUAGGGGAGCAAACAGG
rnacentral:rRNA from 1 species